GGUAAGUCAUAUACGAUCAGCUCCUGCUGAACUCCCCCAGGUCUGGAAGGAAGCAAGGGUAGGCGGUCGAAGCGGUGCGAUAUAUUCGACUUACCC
rnacentral:SRP_RNA from 1 species